CUUGAGACAUAUAUCCGAAUGAUUUUUUUUUAAAUCGAGUACAAUUUUUAUUAACAUUUUUAGCAAAAGUUCAUAAAAAAAGGGUGCAAAUAUGAUCAUCCCGAAAUAACAUUAAUUGUUGUAGUAUAUUGUGCUAGUUUUAGGAAAUUAUUUCUCCAAAAAUUGUAUGUCCAUUUUCAUAAUCUAAGUUUUCGUUAAGUUCAAUUUCUGUAUUCUUUUUUUUGGUUUAUUAAAAAUAAAAACCAAUUAUAGACCUAAACCCUUUUGAUUAGAUUAGUUGGAUAUCAUUUCAAUUUUGGUUUUGGUAGUUUUUAGUAACAUUAAAAAAUAAAAAGGAUUUUAGACAGUUUGUUUCUAUUGUUUUAGUUUGAUUUCAGUUCGCAUUUGUUUGUAGCGGAAAAAAAUCAAUAAAACUGGUAUAUUUCUUCUUUGGCUUAACUUAUCAGUAUAGUUUCAGACCCUUUAAAUGGAUUAGACACAGUUUUAUAGAUUUGAUUACACAUUUCUUAUAAGAAAAAUUAAUUCUUAGAUUUUUAUUUAAAAAAUAAAAAGAUGGAGAAGAAUGAUGAGGCGGGUAAAUUCAUCGAAGAGUGGACAUGGUUUAGGUGGAGGAGGUGCAGGAGAUGGACAUGGUGUCUAUCAUUUGCCAUUACCCUCCCCUCCACCACCAUUAUUACCACCAUCAAGGCUGCCUUCGCCAUCAAUACCGCCACCACCAGAGGCACUAUCGCUACCAUAAACUGAAGAGAUACAAGCUUCAAAAAAAAAAAGUUUGUCAUAAAGAAUCAUCAUCGUCGUCAACCCAUCAAAGAUUGUGAAAUUUUUUCUUUUUCAGCCGACGAGAUCUAAUGCAACUUAAGAGUAGAAUUCAUAUACAAUAUAUGAUUCAUUAUAAAUAAAGUGUUUAAAUUUAUGAUUUAUUUAUAAAACCAAAAAAAAAAAAAAAAAAAAUUAUGAUUUAUCCAACAUUUGAUUUGAUUUGAAAUAAGGAAAGAGCUUUCUCCUCAACUCCUUCUUUUGGAUAUUGUUUUUGAAUGUAGCUUUCUCUAGGUGUUUCCAAAAUAUAGUUAUAAAUAAGGUAUUUAGCCUUUUAUAUAUUUUGUUUGGUCUUUAUUGAUUUAUAAUACAAAUUUGCAUAUUGAUUCGUUAUCUUUUUUUUUCUUUUGUUUAUUUACUAGAAGUCAAACUAUCUUCUAAAAGAAGUUGUUUCUACGAAACCCAUCAUACAAGCCACUGGACCCACUAAGCCUUACCAAAUACCCCACAUUAUAGUAAACAAGCCUUUUCAACAUAAAUUCCAGAAAGUAGCUAUUAAUAUUGCCUUAUCUUGAUGGCUAUAUAAUAGAAACAUUUGGGGGAGGGGAAGAGUAUCUCAAACAACAAGAAUAAACAAGAAAGAGAGAAAAAAUAGAGAGGGAGAGAAAAAGAAAGACAAAAUUUUCAUUUAUUUUUGGGUUCUCAAAUUUUGGGUUUCUAUAGUUUAAUCAUUCAACAUUUUGGGUUUUUGUGUGGACAAAAUUUUUCUUUUCUUUUCGGGAAGAUGUUGUGAAGGAAUAAAUCUUGUUGCCCUUGGUCUGUGAUUUAUUUUUCUUAGUGUUUGGGAUUUUCACAUACCUUUUUUGGUGUAUAUUAUUUUUUUCAUUUAUAAGUAGCUGCAAGUUAACGUAUAAUUCUGUAAACCAAUCUAACACUUUCUAAUAUGGCUGUUGACAAAAAAAAAAAAAAAUCUAACACUUCGCAUAGUGACAUUUAUAGAUAAUUAAGAGUACUAGAGCAAAGGAUUUAGCAAGGUAACAAAAAAAAAUUAUGGUAAAGAAUGGUCUGUUGAACUCGGGAAUUGUCUUCUUGUUUCUAGUAAUUUUGGUUCCAUGCUCUUUCGACUGUGCUCUGGCUUCUCCCCAGGAGUUACUCCCAGCAACAGGCUUGAGAAGGAAGUUGAUUCCAAUGCGGUCAUCAGUCAGUCGACGAACUGGGUCUCUAGGAGCUCCACCACCACCGUCGGCAAUUUCUAUGAAACGUAAUAAAUAUUUUUAAUGCCGGUUAGAUGAUGUUGUAAUAUUUUGUUCGUUGUUUUGUUGAAACGUGUUGUAAUAUUUUUCAUCUAAUAUAACUGAUGGAGUGAAAGCUAAUAAGUACCUAUAUGAUUGCAUUAUUAAUAACAAGUAUGGAUUCUAAAACUA